GAUGAACGCUGGCGGCGUGCCUAAUACAUGCAAGUCGAGCGAACGGACGAGAAGCUUGCUUCUCUGAUGUUAGCGGCGGACGGGUGAGUAACACGUGGAUAACCUACCUAUAAGACUGGGAUAACUUCGGGAAACCGGAGCUAAUACCGGAUAAUAUUUUGAACCGCAUGGUUCAAAAGUGAAAGACGGUCUUGCUGUCACUUAUAGAUGGAUCCGCGCUGCAUUAGCUAGUUGGUAAGGUAACGGCUUACCAAGGCAACGAUGCAUAGCCGACCUGAGAGGGUGGACGGACACACUGGAACUGAGAAACGGUCCAGACUCCUACGGGAGGCAGCAGUAGGGAAUCUUCCGCAAUGGGCGAAAGCCUGACGGAGCAACGCCGCGUGAGUGAUGAAGGUCUUCGGAUCGUAAAACGCUGUUAUUAGGGAAGAACAUAUGAGUAAGUAACUGUGCACAUCUUGACGGUACCUAAUCAGAAAGCCACGGCUAACUACGUG
rnacentral:rRNA from 1 species